GGAUUAGAUACCCUGGUAGUCCACGCCGUAAACGAUGUCUACUAGUUGUUGGGAGACUUGAUCUCUUAGUAACGAAGCUAACGCGAUAAGUAGACCGCCUGGGGAGUACGGCCGCAAGGUUAAAACUCAAAUGAAUUGACGGGGGCCCGCACAAGCGGUGGAGCAUGUGGUUUAAUUCGACAUACGCGAAGAACCUUACCUGGACUUGACAUAGUAAGAACUUAGCAGAGAUGCUUUGGUGCCUUCGGGAACUCUGAGACAGGUGCUGCAUGGCUGUCGUCAGCUCGUGCCG
rnacentral:rRNA from 1 species